GAGUUUGAUCUUGGCUCAGAGCGAACGCUGGCGGCAGGCCUAACACAUGCAAGUCGAACGAACCCUUCGGGGUUAGUGGCGGACGGGUGAGUAACACGUGGGAACGUACCCUUAGGUUCGGAACAACACAGGGAAACUUGUGCUAAUGCCGAAUGUGCCCUUCGGGGGAAAGAUUUAUCGCCUUUGGAGCGGCCCGCGUCUGAUUAGCUAGUUGGUGAGGUAAAGGCUCACCAAGGCUUCGAUCAGUAGCUGGUCUGAGAGGAUGAUCAGCCACACUGGGACUGAGACACGGCCCAGACUCCUACGGGAGGCAGCAGUGGGGAACCUUGCGCAAUGGGCGAAAGCCUGACGCAGCCAUGCCGCGUGAAUGAUGAAGGCCUUAGGGUUGUAAAGUUCUUUUACCCGUGACGAUGAUGACGGUAACGGGGGAAUAAGCUCCGGCUAACUUCGUGCCAGCCGCCGCAGUAAG
rnacentral:rRNA from 1 species